rnacentral:rRNA from 1 species
UACGUAGGGCGCAAGCGUUAUCCGGAAUUAUUGGGCGUAAAGAGCUCGUAGGCGGUUUGUCGCGUCUGCCGUGAAAGUCCGGGGCUCAACUCCGGAUCUGCGGUGGGUACGGGCAGACUAGAGUGAUGUAGGGGAGACUGGAAUUCCUGGUGUAGCGGUGAAAUGCGCAGAUAUCAGGAGGAACACCGAUGGCGAAGGCAGGUCUCUGGGCAUUAACUGACGCUGAGGUGCGAAAGCAUGGGGAGCGAACAGG